UCGAAUUGCGACAUCACUUUAUUCAUGAAUAGAUCGCCAACAGACAAGUCGAGUUGAUACACUGCGCUACCAAGGAGCAGAUGGCCGAUAUUUUCACAAGCUGCUACCAUUGGAGAAAUUCAUAUUUUGCCAAGAGAAGAUCGGUGUGAAGAACAUUAGCAUUAUGGGGGAGUGUUAGAGAUAAUGCUAAUGAGAUUAGGAUUAGAUUAUUUGAUUUUAUCCAUUAUUAUAUUCGAGAUGAAAUCGAAAAAAAGUAGGAUUCUAUAUAAUUAGUUAUAAAUAGAUAGCCAGGAUUAUUUGAUUAAUGAAG
rnacentral:lncRNA from 1 species